rnacentral:rRNA from 1 species
GAUGAACGCUGGCGGCGUGCCUAAUACAUGCAAGUCGAGCGAACGGACGAGAAGCUUGCUUUUCUGAUGUUAGCGGCGGACGGGUGAGUAACACGUGGAUAACCUACCUAUAAGACUGGGAUAACUUCGGGAAACCGGAGCUAAUACCGGAUAAUAUUUUGAACCGCAUGGUUCAAAAGUGAAAGACGGUCUUGCUGUCACUUAUAGAGGGAUCCGCGCUGCAUUAGCUAGUUGGUAAGGUAACGGCUUACCAAGGCAACGAUGCAUAGCCGACCUGAGAGGGUGAUCGGCCACACUGGAGCUGAGACACGGUCCAGACUCCUACGGGAGGCAGCAGUAGGGAAUCUUCCGCAAUGGGCGAAAGCCUGACGGAGCAACGCCGCGUGAGUGAUGAAGGUCUUCGGAUCGUAAAACUCUGUUAUUAGGGAAGAACAUAUGUGUAAGUAACUGUGCACAUCUUGACGGUACCUAAUCAGAAAGCCACGGCUAACUACGUG